rnacentral:rRNA from 1 species
UCGUUAACGAACGAGACCUCGACCUGCUAAAUAGUUCUAGUCAUCUUCCGAUGGCUGGACACUUCUUAGAGGGACUAUCGGUGGUUAGCCGAUGGAAGUUCGAGGCAAUAACAGGUCUGUGAUGCCCUUAGAUGUUCUGGGCUGCACGCGCGCUACACUGAUACGUUCAUCGAGCUCCUGCCUUAACUGAAAAGUUUGGGUAAUCUUCUCAAUGCGUAUCGUGAUGGGGAUAGAUUAUUGUAAUUUUUGAUCUUCAACGAGGAAUUCCUAGUAAACGCGCGUCAUUAACGCGCAUUGAUUACGUCCCUGCCCUUUGUACACACCGCCCGUCGCUAAUACCGAUUGAAUGGGUA